UCGAGCGGCAGCGCGGGGCAACCUGGCGGCGAGCGGCGAACGGGUGAGUAAUGCAUCGGAACAUGUCCAUGUCGUGGGUGAUAGCCCGGCGAAAGCCGGAUUAAUACCGCAUACGCCCGAGAGGGGAAAGUGGGGGACCGCAAGGCCUCACGCGAUUGGGUUGGCCGAUGUCCGAUUAGCUAGUUGGCGGGGUAAGAGCCCACCAAGGCGAUGAUCGGUAGCUGGUCUGAGAGGAUGAUCAGCCACACUGGGACUGAGACACGGCCCAGACUCCUACGGGAGGCAGCAGUGGGGAAUUUUGGACAAUGGGGGCAACCCUGAUCCAGCCAUUCCGCGUGAGUGAAGAAGGCCUUCGGGUUGUAAAGCUCUUUUGUCCGGAACGAAACGGUUGGCGUGAAUAUCGCCGACUACUGACGGUACCGGAAGAAUAAGCACCGGCUAACUACGUGCCAGCAGCCGCGGUAAUACGUAGGGUGCGAGCGUUAAUCGGAAUUACUGGGCGUAAAGCGUGCGCAGGCGGUUUUGUAAGCCAGAUGUGAAAUCCCCGGGCUUAACCUGGGAAUGGCAUUUGGGACUGCAAGGCUGGAGUGCGGCAGAGGAGACUGGAAUUCCUGGUGUAGCAGUGAAAUGCGUAGAUAUCAGGAGGAAUACCGAUGGCGAAGGCAGGUCUCUGGGCUGACACUGACGCUCAUGCACGAAAGCGUG
rnacentral:rRNA from 1 species